rnacentral:misc_RNA from 1 species
UCUCCGUAGGUGAACCUGCGGAGGGAUCAUUAACACGUUUAGUAAAUAAACAAAACUAACUUACAGUCUUAGUUAGUAGGGACAUGAAAUGCAGCUUGUCUGAGUUUUUUGUGCUUAUUACUUUGGCUCUGUGAACUUCGAAGGUAGAUUUAAUGCACGGUCAUUUGUGACUUGCAUUAGAUCUUACCAUAUUUUUUUUUUUACAAACGCUUGUAAAACACAACAUUUAUUUGAACAACUUGUCUUUUGACCAGCUGUGCUAAUCUAAUUUCUGUUUUUCUUUUUCCUCGAUCAAUUCUCACUUUAAAUCGUGAGAUUGUGACAGAAAAAAAAAUUCAAAUUAUAAUCUAAGAACAACUCUUAGCAAUGGAUAUCUUGGUUCUC